GAGGAAUAUUGGUCAAUGGACGAGAGUCUGAACCAGCCAAGUCGCGUGAAGGAAGACGGAUCUAUGGUUUGUAAACUUCUUUAGUGCGGGAACAAAGCGGCGUCGAGACGCCUGAUGAGUGUACCGCAAGAAUAAGCAUCGGCUAACUCCGUGCCAGCAGCCGCGGUAAUACGGAGGAUGCGAGCGUUAUCCGGAUUUAUUGGGUUUAAAGGGAGCGCAGGCUGCGAGGCAAGUCAGCGGUCAAAUGUCGGGGCUCAACCCCGGCCUGCCGUUGAAACUGUCCUGCUAGAGUUCGAGUGAGGUAUGCGGAAUGCGUUGUGUAGCGGUGAAAUGCAUAGAUAUGACGCAGAACUCCGAUUGCGAAGGCAGCAUACCAACUCGCGACUGACGCUGAGGCUCGAAAGCGUGGGUAUCGAAC
rnacentral:rRNA from 1 species